rnacentral:rRNA from 2 species
UCGAGAAUCUUCGGCAAUGGGCGAAAGCCUGACCGAGCGACGCCGCGUGAGGGAAGAAGGCCUUCGGGUUGUAAACCUCUUUCGUAGAGGAGGAAGGGGCCGUGCAGAGCGGUCUUUGACCUAUUCUAGGAAGAAGCUUGGGCUAAGUUCGUGCCAGCAGCCGCGGUAAGACGAACCAAGCGAACGUUAUUCGGAAUUACUGGGCUUAAAGCGCGUGUAGGCGGAUGACCACGUCAGUCGUUGAAAUCCCCCGGCUCAACCGGGGAACAGGCGCUGAUACGAGUUGUCUGGAGGUGGGUAGGGGAGACUGGAACUUCCGGUGGAGCGGUGAAAUGCGUUGAGAUCGGAAGGAACGCCCGCGGCGAAAGCGAGUCUCUGGACCCAUUCUGACGCUGAGACGCGAAAGCCAGGGGAGCAAACG